rnacentral:rRNA from 1 species
CCUACGGGCGGCUGCAGUGGGGAAUAUUGGACAAUGGGCGAAAGCCUGAUCCAGCCAUGCCGCGUGUGUGAAGAAGGCCUUCGGGUUGUAAAGCACUUUCAGUGGGGAAGAAAGCCUUGGGGCUAAUACCCUCGAGGAAGGACAUCACCCACAGAAGAAGCACCGGCUAACUCCGUGCCAGCAGCCGCGGUAAUACGGAGGGUGCGAGCGUUAAUCGGAAUUACUGGGCGUAAAGCGCGCGUAGGCGGUCUGAUAAGCCGGUUGUGAAAGCCCCGGGCUCAACCUGGGAACGGCAUCCGGAACUGUCAGGCUAGAGUGCAGGAGAGGAAGGUAGAAUUCCCGGUGUAGCGGUGAAAUGCGUAGAGAGCGGGAGGAAUACCAGUGGCGAAGGCGGCCUUCUGGACUGACACUGACGCUGAGGUGCGAAAGCGUGGGUAGCAAACAGGAUUAGAUACCCCAGUAGUC